AUGUGCGGUUCUUAUGUCAUAAAAAGCCGUAAAACCAUCACACGAGCUAAUAAUAAUGGGACGGAAAAUUCAUACACUAGACUGGACAGAUCUCAACCAAGCAUGAAGUCGUUUCUGUUUCUCCUGAGCGUCGCGUGCUCCUGUUAUGGACUUCACAUCCUGCCGUGUGAGCCUGGAGACCCGGGGCCCCUGGGAUGUGAUGCCUACCAGAGAAACGGUGGCCGCCUAGACGUAGGUGGUGCCGGAGGUGGAGCCAUGAAUUCCAUCGGGUUCGAUCAGAAUCAGAACGCCGGUUUUGGAAACGGACUUGGUUCCAAUUUCCUGGAGCCAAGGCUCGAAUUUGGAAUGGACGGAGGAGUAGUGAACGACUUUAACAAUGGAUUUGGUCAAGAUGUCGGACUGGUCGAUACUGGAUUCGACAACGGCUUCCAAAAUGACUUAUCAGGGCUCAGUCUUGACUCCAAUAUCGGACCUGGGGGAUUUGAUCCCAGUCUCGGGGCUGGAGGAUUUGACGCCGGUGUCGGCGGUGGAUUUGACGCUGGCUUUGAUGUGAACUCCGGUUUAGAUGGGCGUUUCAUUGGAGGGGGAGGUGGUGGUGGUUUUGAUGGGUUCGACAACGGACUUGGAGGGAAUAUUGGCGGGCCAUCCAUCGGAGGAAACUUUGGCGGCGGGAAAGGUGGAAUAAUCGGGGGACCCUCGGUGGGGGGAUUCAAUGAAGGGUUUGGAUUUGAUGGAAACCUCGGUGGGGCAGACUUUGGACAGGACAUAGGCUUUGGUGGUGCUGGUAUUGGUAAAGGCAAAGGAUUCGGAGGUGCCAUCGGCAGUGGUGCAGGAUUUGGAAAAGGAAAUGGUAUCGGUGGUGCCAUCGGUGGUGGUGCAGGAUUUGGAAAAGGAAAAGGUUUCGAUGGUGGUAUCGGCGGUAAUGCAGGAUUCGGAAAAGGCAAAGGUUUCGGUGGUGGCAUUGCUGGUGGUGCAAAAUUUGAAAAAGGGAAAGGCUUCGGUGGAGGUAUCGGUGGUGGGAAGUUCGGUGGAUCCCUAGGACCAUCUUACCCUAAAAGAAAAGGCUUUAAUAUCGACAGAAGAUAUAAUAAAGGCUUCGGAGGUGGUUCUGGAUGGGGGUCAAGAGGAAAGGGAAUUAUAGGGGGAUCUCACGGAAUCAUGGGAGGAAAAGGCAUUGGUGGAGGUAAAGGUAUUAUUGGAGGUAUUGGAAUCGGGGGCGGUUUCGGAUUUAGAGGCGGACUCGGCAAAGGAUUCGCUUUGGAAUUCGAAGUCCAGUCUCAAUGCUACCAAAAUCAUACGGAAGAGUUUCUAAUUAUCCAAAGAAUAUGCCAAUUAAGCCGAUCCGACGAAUGGCGUCCGGUUACUAAUCCAAGUCAGAAAUCAACCGAAGCUGUUCCAAUAAGCAAAUUCCCAAGUUGUGUGACUUUGCCGGGAGAAAUCUGCACGAGAGUAUACCAAUAGCUGGAGGAGGCUUCUACAAUAGUUCUUUGUUUUGUACCUUUUUGUUUUUAUUUAUUCAAUAAACUUAUUCAAAUACCUU
rnacentral:misc_RNA from 1 species